AUACGUAGGGGGCGAGCGUUGUCCGGAAUGAUUGGGCGUAAAGGGCGCGUAGGCGGCCCGGUAAGUCUGGAGUGAAAGUCCUGUUUUUAAGAUGGGAAUUGCUUUGGAUACUGUCGGGCUUGAGUGCAGGAGAGGUAACCGGAAUUCCUAGUGUAGCGGUGAAAUGCGUAGAUAUUAGGAAGAACACCAGUGGCGAAGGCGGGUUACUGGACGACAACUGACGGUGAGGCGCGAAAGCGUGGGGAGCAAACAGGAUUAAAUACCCUGGUAGUCCACGCUGUAAACGGUCAAUACUAGGUGUGCGGGGACUGACCCCCUGCGUGCCGGAGUUAACACAAUAAGUAUUGCACCUGGGGAGUACGAUCGCAAGGUUGAAACUCAAAUGAAUUGACGGGG
rnacentral:rRNA from 1 species